GACGAACGCUGGCGGCGUGCCUAAUACAUGCAAGUAGAACGCUGAAGAGAGGAGCUUGCUCUUCUUGGAUGAGUUGCGAACGGGUGAGUAACGCGUAGGUAACCUGCCCUGUAGCGGGGGAUAACUAUUGGAAACGAUAGCUAAUACCGCAUAACAAUGGAUGACACAUGUCAUUUAUUUGAAAGGGGCAAAUGCUCCACUACAAGAUGGACCUGCGUUGUAUUAGCUAGUAGGUGAGGUAACGGCUCACCUAGGCGACGAUACAUAGCCGACCUGAGAGGGUGAUCGGCCACACUGGGACUGAGACACGGCCCAGACUCCUACGGGAGGCAGCAGUAGGGAAUCUUCGGCAAUGGGGGCAACCCUGACCGAGCAACGCCGCGUGAGUGAAGAAGGUUUUCGGAUCGUAAAGCUCUGUUGUAAGUCAAGAACGAGUGUGAGAGUGGAAAGUUCACACUGUGACGGUAGCUUACCAGAAAGGGACGGCUAACUACGUGCCAGCAGCCGCGGUAAUACGUAGGUCCCGAGCGUUGUCCGGAUUUAUUGGGCGUAAAGCGAGCGCAGGCGGUUUGAUAAGUCUGAAGUUAAAGGCUGUGGCUCAACCAUAGUUCGCUUUGGAAACUGUCAAACUUGAGUGCAGAAGGGGAGAGUGGAAUUCCAUGUGUAGCGGUGAAAUGCGUAGAUAUAUGGAGGAACACCGGUGGCGAAAGCGGCUCUCUGGUCUGUAACUGACGCUGAGGCUCGAAAGCGUGGGGAGCGAACAGGAUUAGAUACCCUGGUAGUCCACGCCGUAAACGAUGAGUGCUAGGUGUUGGAUCCUUUCCGGGAUUCAGUGCCGCAGCUAACGCAUUAAGCACUCCGCCUGGGGAGUACGACCGCAAGGUUGAAACUCAAAGGAAUUGACGGGGGCCCGCACAAGCGGUGGAGCAUGUGGUUUAAUUCGAAGCAACGCGAAGAACCUUACCAGGUCUUGACAUCCCGAUGCUAUUUCUAGAGAUAGAAAGUUACUUCGGUACAUCGGUGACAGGUGGUGCAUGGUUGUCGUCAGCUCGUGUCGUGAGAUGUUGGGUUAAGUCCCGCAACGAGCGCAACCCCUAUUGUUAGUUGCCAUCAUUCAGUUGGGCACUCUAGCGAGACUGCCGGUAAUAAACCGGAGGAAGGUGGGGAUGACGUCAAAUCAUCAUGCCCCUUAUGACCUGGGCUACACACGUGCUACAAUGGUUGGUACAACGAGUUGCGAGUCGGUGACGGCAAGCUAAUCUCUUAAAGCCAAUCUCAGUUCGGAUUGUAGGCUGCAACUCGCCUACAUGAAGUCGGAAUCGCUAGUAAUCGCGGAUCAGCACGCCGCGGUGAAUACGUUCCCGGGCCUUGUACACACCGCCCGUCACACCACGAGAGUUUGUAACACCCGAAGUCGGUGAGGUAACCUUUUGGAGCCAGCCGCCUAAGGUGGGAU
rnacentral:rRNA from 1 species